CCACAAAAUCUCUAGGAGUUCUAC
rnacentral:siRNA from 1 species